UUUAGCCGGGAUGGUCUCGAUCUCCUGACCUCGUGAUCCGCCCGCCUCGGCCUCCCAAAGUGCUGGGAUUACAGGCGUGAGCCACCGCGCCCGGCCGGUCACCCCUUCUUAAAGUGCAACCGUGACACAAUGGCUGAUACCCUGGACAUGCAUCGUCCACGUGCUCCUGCCUGUGAGCUCUCUCCCAGCACACCGGAGCUCUUCCAUGGUACAUGAUAACAACUGCUGGAAGAAAAAGCAAAACCCGUGCCAUAGGCUGGACAUAUUCAAGAUGAUUGGAAGCUUCCUGAGGCCUCCCCCGAAGCAGAGGCUGCCAUACUUCCUGUACAGCCUGCAGAACCAUGAGCCAGACAAAUCUCUUUUCUUACGACUUACGCAGUCUCAGGUUCAACACUAUGUGCAAUAAGAGAACAAACGAUAUUGGAAAUCGGGUCUCAAAAUAAGCAGAAUGUUACUGGGUUUGUCUGUCUUUUUUCACUGUUUCUCCUAUUCAUCUUCAUUUCCAUAAAAAUACAAACAGAAUUCUGCUAAUGUUUAUUAAACAGUUAAUAAUUUAAAAACUAGACACUGUGAUAACUAUGCUCUUCACAAAGCUGACAGAUUACAAGGAUUCAAUAAGACAAUACAUAUAAGGCUAGGCACAGUGGCUCAUGCCUAAAAUGAGCACUUUGGGAGGCUGAGGUGGGUGGAUUGCCUGAGGUCAGGAGUUUGAGACCAACCUGGCCAACAUAGCAAAACCCCGUCUCUACUAAAAAUACAAGAAUUAGCUGGGCAAGGACAGGCGUGGUGGCUCACGUCUGUAAUGCCAGCACUUCAGGAGGCUGAGGCAGGUGGAUCACCUGAGGUCAGGAGUUCAAGACCAGCCUGCCAAUAUGGUGAAACUCUAUCUCUACUAAAAAUACAAAAAUUAGCCAGGCGUGGUGGCGGGUGCCUGUAAUCCCAGCUACUCAGGAGGCUGAGGCAGGAGAACCCAGGGGGCAGAUGUUGCAGUGAACCAAGAUCACGCCGCUGCACUCCAGCCUGGGUGACAAAGCGAGACACAGUCUCCAAAAAAAUAAAUAAAUAAAUAAAUAAAUAAAUAAUAAUGAAAUAACAUGUAUAAAGUGCUUUGCACAAUUAAUUAGGUAUUGUUAUUUUUAUCUCAUUUAAUUCUCAAAACAUUCCUAUGACAUUGUUAUAACAAUGUGAUUAUUAUUAUCCCCAUUCUGCAAGCAAAAAAAAAAAAAAGGCUCAGAGAAGUUAAGUGAUUUGUCCACGUUCACACAGCAUAUGGCAGAGCUGAGGCUAAAAGGCGAGCUGUCAGAGUCCAAUGUCUACAUGCUUGACCACUGUGCUGAAAACAUUUUGCCAAAUCUUUGAUUUCCUGAGAAUAUUCUAACCAUUGAUAAAUGUGCACCAAAGCAAGUUUUAAUUAAUUUUUUAAAUUUGAAAAUAUUAUUGGCCAGGUGCAGUGGCUCAUACCUGUAAUGCUAACACUUUGGAAUGCCAAGGAGGGUGGAUUGCCUGAGCUCAGGAGUUUCAGACCAGCCCGAACAACAUGGCAAAACUCCAUCUCUACAAAAAAUGUAAAAUAAAAAAAAAAUAGCCAGGCAUGGUGGCACAUGCCUAUAGUCCCAGCUACUUAGGAGGCUGAGGUGGGAGGAUCACUUAAGUCUGGGAGGUGGAGGCUGCUGUGAGCUGUGUUCACACUACUGCACUCCAACCCAGGUGACAGAGUGAGACUUUGUCUCUCUCUAUAUAUAGAUAUAGAUAUAGAUAUAUAGAUAUAGAUAUGUUAUUUACUAGCUCAUUACUGUAGUCACACAUAGUAUAUAUCACUAUCUUCAAAGUAUUAAAUGAUGUAUUCAAAAUAACAUGGUUCCUGGCUGGGUGUGGUGGCUUACGCCUGUAAUCCCAACACUUUGGGAAGCUGAGGCGGGGGGAAUCACCUGAGGUCAGUUAAAAAUACAAAAUACAAAAAUUAGCCCGGCAUGGUGGCGGGCGCCUGUAAUCCCAGCUACUCCGGGGAGGCUGAGGCAGGAGAAUCGCUUGAAUCCGGGAGGCAGAGGUUGUGGUGAGCUGAGAUGGCGCCAUUGCACUCCAGUCUAGGCAACAAGAGAGAAACUCCGUCUCAAAAUAAUAAUAAUAAUAACAUGGUUGCAAAGUGUAUUAUUUAAAAGACUCUCCAAUCCUAUCCUUCCCCAGCCUAUCUUUCAUGUCCUGCUCCCCAGAGGCAGCCACCCUCAAACCUUAUACCUUUUCACCUGGUACUUACCGCCAUGCUUCUAAAUAAGGAAGUUAUACUGCAAUUUCUUGACAUCAAUUUUUUUUUUUGAGACAGAGUCUUGCUCUGUUGCCCUGGCUGGAG
rnacentral:lncRNA from 10 species